UCACGGAACGAAGAAAAGGAAGACAGUUUCGCAGAAGAACGCGAGAAGACUAGGGAGAAAGGAAUGACCUUACUUCGGAGGAUAUUUCGAAUCGAUUCGACGGGGAGAGCUCGUACAAAGACGCAUGGGUGUACCGCGUGAUUCCCACAUGACGUGAUUCGCAUCACUUUGUCAUCCCCGAUCGCUUUCUCGAUACAACGUGAGACAUCGAAGCCAUUCGAAAGGUGGCUGCACAAAAAACAAAUAACGCAAGACCAGUAUUACCGAGACGCAAGCACGAACACGGCGGACAACGAAGGACGAAAGUACGCGUACAAGAAGAAGGUCGAUGCGAUAUCAGCCACUGUUCCCGGAUUUGGCGAUUAUUUCAUUUGUUUAAAUAAUUGCUCCUUCAGACAACAUCGUAAUUACAAAAGCCAGAGCAUGCUUCUCGCAACAGAAAUAGAAGCAGAAAUUUGAUAUCGAGAUGUCCCUACCCAGUGCGAGAUCCGAGCAACGUUAACUAUGCAUUGCAUCUGUCGGUGAUAUCUAUGUACAUUACAACUUGCUGAGAAUAAUACGAAUAGUAAAGCA